AGUGAACGCUGGCGGUAGGCCUAACACAUGCAAGUCGAACGGCAGCACAGUAAGAGCUUGCUCUUACGGGUGGCGAGUGGCGGACGGGUGAGGAAUACAUCGGAAUCUACUUUUUCGUGGGGGAUAACGUAGGGAAACUUACGCUAAUACCGCACACGACCUACGGGUGAAAGCAGGGGAUCUUCGGACCUUGCGCGAUUGAAUGAGCCGAUGUCGGAUUAGCUAGUUGGCGGGGUAAAGGCCCACCAAGGCGACGAUCCGUAGCUGGUCUGAGAGGAUGAUCAGCCACACUGGAACUGAGACACGGUCCAGACUCCUACGGGAGGCAGCAGCGGGGAAUAUUGGACAAUGGGCGCAAGCCUGAUCCAGCCAUACCGCGUGGGUGAAGAAGGCCUUCGGGUUGUAAAGCCCUUUUGUUGGGAAAGAAAAGCAGCAGGUUAAUACCCCGCUGUUCUGACGGUACCCAAAGAAUAAGCACCGGCUAACUUCGUG
rnacentral:rRNA from 1 species